CAAAAGCUUCGACAGAGUCAACUCCUGUGGUGACCGUACCGGAAACCGACACAGGUGGGCGGGGUGAGAAUCCCAAGGCGCUUGAGAGAACCCUGCUUAAGGAACUCGCAAAAUGACACCGUAACUUCGGGAGAAGGUGUGCCCUCUGUACGUGAAGCCCCUUGCGGGUGGAGCGGAAGAGGGUUGCAGAGAAACGGGGGUAGCGACUGUUUACCAAAAACCCAGCACUGUGCGAAGUCGGAAGACGACGUAUACGGUGUGAUGCCUGCCCGGUGCCGGAAGGUUAAGGGGAGUUGUCAGCCGCAAGGCAAAGCAGCGAACCGAAGCCCCGGUAAAACGGCGGCCGUAACUAUAACGGUCCUAAGGUAGCGAAAUUCCUUGUCGGGUAAGUUCCGACCUGCACGAAUGGCAUAACGACUUCCCCACUGUCUCGAGCAGGGACUCAGCGAAGUAGCACUAGGGGUGAAGAUACCCUUUACCCGCGGCAGGACGGAAAGACCCCGUGAACCUUUACUGUAACUUGGCACUGAACUUCGGGUUCGUUUGCGUAGGAUAGGUGGGACGCUAGGAAGCAUGGACUCCGGUCUGUGUGGAGCGGCCGUUGAAAUACCACCCUGACGAAUCUGGAGUUCUAACCUUCACCCGUGAGCCGGGUGGGGGACAAUGCCUGGUGGGCAGUUUGACUGGGGCGGUCGCCUCCCAAAGAGUAACGGAGGCGCGCGAAGGUUCCCUCAGGCUGAUUGGAAACCAGCCGACGAGUGUAAUGGCAUAAGGGAGCUUGACUGCGAGACUGACAAGUCGAGCAGGUGCGAAAGCAGGUCAUAGUGAUCCGGUGGUUCUGAGUGGAAGGGCCAUCGCUCAACGGAUAAAAGGUACUCCGGGGAUAACAGGCUUAUCACGCCCAAGAGUUCACAUCGACGGCGUGGUUUGGCACCUCGAUGUCGGCUCAUCGCAUCCUGGGGCUGAAGUUGGUCCCAAGGGUUUGGCUGUUCGCCAAUUAAAGCGGUACGCGAGCUGGGUUCAAAACGUCGUGAGACAGUUUGGUCCCUAUCCGCCGUGGGCGCAGGACGCUUGAGAGGAUCUGUCCUUAGUACGAGAGGACCGGGAUGGACGGACCGCUAGUGUUCCGGUUGUGGCGCCAGCUGCAAUGCCGGGUAGCUAUGUUCGGAAGGGAUAACCGCUGAAAGCAUCUAAGCGGGAAGCCCACCUCGAGAUAAGGCGUCCCUGAGACUUCGGUCUCCUGAAGACCCCAUGUAGACCACGUGGUUGAUAGGCUGGGUGUGGAAGCGCUGCAAGGCGCGGAGCUAACCAGUACUAAUCGGUCGUGAGGCUUGACCAC
rnacentral:rRNA from 1 species